CGGACGGGCUCGUGGCAGUGGCUGGAGCGGCGGAGAGCCUGGAGCGGGCCACACUGCCGUGUCCCUCUGACACUGGAACUAUCAGGCAAGUGAACUCAACUGUCCGGUGUUGCGAACUUUAUACUGUUCUCUGGAGCCCCUCCCGGGCCCUAACGGGGUGAGGUCAAGAGUGCCCAGAGUUUCAUAAUUGGCCCGAGGAGGAGUGACAGGAGGACCGUCCGGAAGUCAUCCUCCCUUUUUGGAGCACUUGAGUGUAGUGGCUGAGGAGUGAAAAAAUGUCCUUCUGAUUGGCCUGGGACUACUCCCCAAACUUUUCCACCUCCUUCUCGGAGGACCUAAGAACUAUGAAUCAAUUCAGCAGUACUCAUUUGAAUGGGAAUAGUACAUACUUGAAUAGAAAAUGGUAUCUACUGGAUGGGUACAGGACGGGAGAAAACCAGAAAUCGUCCCCUGACCCUGUCCGUCCUGAACCAAAAGUAUAUUUGACUUCUUCCUCUACUCAAUAUUGACUUUGUUGUAUGUAAAGUACAGGUGUACUGAACAUGAGAUGAAUAUAUAAUUGUUUCCUCCACCUCCUUCUUUUUGCGUGCAACAUGUGGACUCAAUGAGCCUAAUCAAACUCUCAUAACAAUGUGAUCAGACACUCCAUCUUUUUUUUCUUUCCCUUUUCCCCGCCUGCCCACUUUUUCCCCUUUAAAUAUCAAAGCCCUCAAAGUCCUCUUUGGAAAAAGUAUUGGCUAAAGAUCCUACUGUGGCUUGUCUUUUUUGUUUGUUUGUUUUGUUUUUUCCGGGGCACAUCC